GACGAACGCUGGCGGCGUGCUUAACACAUGCAAGUCGAACGGAAAGGCCCUGCUUUUGUGGGGUGCUCGAGUGGCGAACGGGUGAGUAACACGUGAGUAACCUGCCCUUGACUUUGGGAUAACUUCAGGAAACUGGGGCUAAUACCGGAUAGGAGCUCCUGCUGCAUGGUGGGGGUUGGAAAGUUUCGGCGGUUGGGGAUGGACUCGCGGCUUAUCAGCUUGUUGGUGGGGUAGUGGCUUACCAAGGCUUUGACGGGUAGCCGGCCUGAGAGGGUGACCGGCCACAUUGGGACUGAGAUACGGGCCAGACUCCUACGGGAGGCAGCAGUGGGGAAUAUUGCACAAUGGGCGGAAGCCUGAUGCAGCAACGCCGCGUGCGGGAUGACGGCCUUCGGGUUGUAAACCGCUUUCGCCUGUGACGAAGCGUGAGUGACGGUAAUGGGUAAAGAAGCGCCGGCUAACUACGUG
rnacentral:rRNA from 1 species